rnacentral:lncRNA from 1 species
AUGAGGACAACCAAUGCAUACGGCACACAAUGACCUAUACUUGAUAUUGCUAUCGUCCUAAUAAUAGCAUAUCAUUUGGUCGUGAAUCAGUUUAAGAAUUAUGCGAUAAAUCCUUCUUUAUCGAUCAAAAUAAUUCUAAAGACUUCAUUACAACAUAGGAGUUCCUUAGAAGAUAUAAUCUUAUGAUAAAAAAGGCUAAAUAACUUUUAUUAUUUAUCAAUUUAUAUUCAAUUAUAGUUAGCACAAUCAUCACAC